rnacentral:tRNA from 8 species
GGGGGGGUAGCUCAGUUGGGAGAGCGCUACGUUCGCAAUGUAGAGGUCGUGAGUUCGAUCCUCAUCCUCUCCACCA